GAUGAAGAACGUAGCGAAAUGCGAUAAGUAGUGUGGAUUGCAGAAUUCAGUGAAUCAUCGAAUCUUUGAACGCACAUUGCGCCCCUUGGUAUUCCAUGGGGCAUGCCUGUUCGAGCGUCAUUUGUACCUUCAAGCUUUGCUUGGUGUUGGGUGUUUGUCUCGCCUCUGCGUGUAGACUCGCCUCAAAACAAUUGGCAGCCGGCGUAUUGAUUUCGGAGCGCAGUACAUCUCGCGCUUUGCACUCAUAACGACGACGUCCAAAAGUACAUUUUUACACUCUUGACCUCGGAUCAGGUAGGGAUACCCGCUGAACUUAAGCAUAUCAAUAAGCGGAGGA
rnacentral:misc_RNA from 1 species